AACAUGCGGUUUUUCACAGUCGACACUGUCGCGCUGUAUAACCCAGGUCAUUAGGGCUUUCCGCAAAUUGACGAUCCAGUACAUCACAUUUCCAGAGACGGACAGCGAAUGUCGUGAGAUCAAAUUAGGCUUUUUCAACAAAUACAAAUUUCCAAAUGUGCUGGGCGCGAUUGACUGUACCCACGUGCAGAUCAGACCGCCACGGAAUUCAGAGGAAUGUUUUCGGAACCGAAAACAGUUCCAUUCCCUGAACGUGCAGGCGGUCUGUGAUGUAAACAUGAGAUUUUUGAACAUUUUUGUGGGAUUUCCUGGAUCAUCUCACGACUCCUUCAUCCUAAGCCAGUCAUCGCUGUUUGACAAGUUUGAAACAGGAAACAUGCCUGGUGGCUGGCUGUUAGGCGAUGCGGGUUAUCCAAACAAACCGUGGCUGUUGACCCCAUUGUCUAAUCCUGUUGGUAGAGCAGAAAAACGUUACCAAGAGACACACAUUGCAUCGAGGGGAGUAAUUGAGCGUGCCUUCGGUGUACUUAAAAGCCGGUUUCGAUGUUUAGACACUUCCGGCGGUGCUCUUUUGUACUCACCGUCGAAGGUUUGCGGCAUGGUAAAUGCAUGUUGUAUUUUACACAACAUAUGUGUCGCAAACCGUUUGCCGGUGACUCUUCGUCGCAGUGCUUUCCGACGCGGGAACCGGUCUUCUGCUCUACCGGUGGGUAUGGACGAAGGAGAGGAUUCCCGGCGGACAUUGAUCCAAAAUUAUUUUGCAGUUGCCUAGUUUUACAUCCUGUUGAUGUAUAUCCCCAGGCCAUGUUUGUACAGUUCGUUACCCCGUUUUAUCCUGUUGUUGGGUUCCCGCAAAUAUUUGAUCCUUUUAUCCAACUCUACCAUGGGUGAACCUACUGGUGAUGUGGACCUGACCCUCCGCCAUGUAGCAGACAACCCCCCC